rnacentral:rRNA from 1 species
UACGGGGGGGGCAAGCGUUGUUCGGAAUUACUGGGCGUAAAGGGCUCGUAGGCGGCCAACUAAGUCAGACGUGAAAUCCCCAGGCUCAACCUGGGAACUGCGUCUGAUACUGGAUGGCUUGAAUCCGGGAGAGGGAUGCAGAAUUCCAGGUGUAGCGGUGAAAUGCGUAGAUAUCUGGAGGAAUACCGGUGGCGAAGGCGGCAUCCUGGACCGGCAUUGACGCUGACGGAGCGAAAGCCAGGGGAGCGAACAGG